UUUCAAUUUUCGAUCAAUGAAUUCCAACACCAAUCUGAUCAUCCUACAUAUUGAGAUAAUCAAGGCACCAAAUGCAAGAGUGCCAAUGUGAUACCUGAAAACCCAGAAUUCGAAAUAUUAGUAUGGCAAAAUGAAAGGAUUUGCCGCAGAAUUAGGUAAUAUUUUCUACCUGAGUACUGUGGAGGCAGCUGAAGUGACAGCGAAAAAUGGCAAAUUACGACGUGGUUUAGUCCAGUACCAAGUGGCAAACACAGUUGCAAGCACCAUCUGACUGAAGGCGGAAACAAAGAAACUCCCCCAGAAGAAUCCAAAGAUGUUGAACC